GAGGGUAUAGCUCAAGUGGUAGAACACACGCUUAGCAUGCAUGUGGUCCCGGGUUCAAUCCCGAGUACCUCCU
rnacentral:tRNA from 1 species